CUUUCGCACCCGUGCAGUCUGCGACGCGCGGUUGUGGGGUGGCGCAGGCGUGCCGCCGCCGCGGCCAGGAAGCCGCGUCCGGCGCCCCCGAACUGCCGCCCUCGUCUGUUUGCACCGUGUCCCUUGUCUCACCUCCCUACGCGGCCACUAAACGCCGUAGCCACGAAGUUCCGUCGCCUCCGCUCGGAGACCGCUUCCGGAAGAUAGGCAGAGAUUUGUCAUUGCGGGGGCUUCGCCACGCCCCCCGGGUGCAGGACAACUGGUCUAUUUGGAGAUUCGUCGACCACAUCGCUGGAAUUUUCUCCAUCUUUACCAACUCCGGUCGCCAUCAGUGAGAGCCUCUGUCCAAUUACUUCGUUACAUUUCCUCCAAACAAAUUUGUUGUCGUAGUUAAUUAUGUCUUUUGGUUUUCUCGGUUCGGGCUUUAGUUCGUACAGUUUACUAAAUACAAUAACCGAAUUCAUCAGUUUUCUAAACACAACAACCUAAUAAUUAACUACAAAUUUGGCAAUUAGACAUUAAAAGAUGCUGCGAGGUAGUUUAGUGUUCCAUGAAUUGAGGUCAGGCUGUGUUGUCCUCUAGUCCUUGUAAAUAACUUUGUUGUUUCCCCCUAAUAAUAAUGCAAAAGGAAAGCUCCUGCUGUCACCCGUCAAAGAAAAAAUCUGGGAACCAACAGUUCGGUUCACCAGAAUUUCAGUUUAGUUUCAGUUAGACCAAAAAACCUUCCUGGAUAUGUCAUUUGCUCCUUUUAUACUUAUUUAGAGCUUGUUGAUUAGGAAUUAUGUGAUUUGUGAUGUUCCUACCAACCCGGAGGUGCUCGAUGAAAUACCCCUCAAUCAUCCCCGCUAUGCCAAGUUAGUUUCUCUGUUAAUCGAUUUUUGUUAGACAAAAGGCAUUGCGCCCAACUUUAAAUUAAUAAAGCCCUAGACGGCAGAAGAGGAUACAAGAUAUCGUGGAAAUCAGGCUAUGACGAAAACAAGGUUUACGAGUCAAAAAGUCGACGAGUCGUUCCGAGGUUGAGACUCAUAGACUAAGUGUGACUAAUUGACAAUAGUCGACACUGAAGUUGUGACUCAUAGACUAGUCGACACUGAAGUGUAGUCGGCCCUGGAGUUGAGACUCAUAGACUAGUCUAUAGACUAGUCUUGACUAGUCCUUGGACUCAUAAUCCAUGGACGAAAAAGAACAGGAACACAUGUAAAAAAAGAACAAGAACGAGCAAAUACUAAAAUGACGAGAUAUGCCACUUCACCUAUUCCAUGCGGAUUUCAAUUUACCUUCUAUUUUCGUGGCUUCGUAUUUCCGCCAAUUGCAAUGGCUUAUUUAUUUCUUUAUUAUGUGCAAAAAAGGAUUGUCUAGUAUUUUUUUUUAGUUUAAGUUAUAUGAACUCGCCCCCAAGACCUUGUUGGCCGAAAACAUUGCUGACCAUAGGCGAGGUGAAUGCUGGAGCUAGAUGAUGCGAGAGAAGGCGACGAUUCACUAAAUAAUCCUGCAUCUGUCUAUUAUAGGAAGGUCGCAAGUUUUCGCCACACCAUUUAUCUCCACUUCUAUAGAGGGCCACUUGCCCCCUCGCCUUGGCUCGAAGAGCGCCUUACCGUAGGUAGUUGGAGAGGCUCACAUGAGAGCCCGUAAGGAAAGCAACUGACAAGACAAGACGACCAAGGCAAGAAAGUCAAAGGGCAUGAUGGCCCAACCAGAGCUGAGUCCAACCACGAAAAGUACCACUAAGACUGCCAACCAACCACACAAUGACCAGGCAGAAGACCCUAGUUCCUAAGGUGGUGCCUCCAAUAAGGAGUUGCACUUGCUGGAAUGACACCAAAGAGCAUCGCUGUCGCCCGACACUGGUAGUGCGGCAAGAUUUUCACUUUGGUACCAUGACCACCAUUAAUGAAAUUGCACAGGCCCAAGGUUGAGGGUGACUGAAACAGGCAGGGAUAUCCAGAUGUUGCUGAGAGUGACUGUCAGCGGCUCCCGACCAUGAGUGACCCACAUAUGUCAUCUCACCGCCCUCAUGAUCAAGAUAGCUGACCAACACCACACAUUGUGGCACCCGCCGCUCAGGGCUGCUGGCCCGACUUCCAAGAAUUCCUACCUUCACCGCCUCCCAGUGGACUAUGGGCCACCUACGCAUAGUCGGCCAUCACAGCUAUCGCGCCAACACUCCCUCAAAAUAUCCUACCUGCACCAUCCACUCGCCGUGCCAACACCGACAAACAACAACCAUGACAAUCACGUGGUUGCCCCUACAAUGACGGGCCGACACACAGUAGAUAUGCAUUCCUAUGCCGACAAGGAAAACUGGGAACUCGCGGAUGGAAUGUCCAUGACCUGCAAACCGAGCAUGUCUGGGUCAUGGUAUCUGCUGCGGGCACCGGACAACCAGCCAAGGAGGCUUACUGGCUAUGGCCCCCACUCCCAAGUACCAAGCAUAGCAUAAAAAAACUGAAGUCUAUCUUGUGUGUUUUGCAUUGUAUAACUAAAUUUAAUUUUCUUGAUGGCAUGUCUAGGCUCGUGUCAUGAGCAUCGAACAUCUGCUUGACUCAAGAAAACUUAAAGGUUUCACUAUUCUUGAAUGACAGCAUUAUUCCUGAGCAUCGAACCUAUGAUUGAUAGAAUUUCGAUGUUCCAAAAUAUGAACAUAUUUAAAGCUAGUAGCUUAAAGCUAAUCUUUUGUAGUUAGUGCACAUCUUACGAAACCUCUAUAUUAGCUUCAAUACAUUUGCUCCAUAAACCGUGGAUAAUAUGUUUUGUUAUUUUGUGACGGGUUCACAAAGCUUACAAAGAGACGAAUAAUGCUAACCCAAUUCACUUGCAAUGUAAGUUGAUAAAAAAGGGUAAUUUGACGGUGUAUACAUAGAGAGCGAUGAUUCAACUAAUAAUUAAGAUCUACUUGAUGUGCUUAAGAUAUUCUCAUACAAUAUCAAGAAUGUUUUCUUUACCUUCAUUCGCACGAUACUUGAGCAAGUAUAAUAAAUUUUUUGUCCUCGACUCAUAACCAUCCUGCAUAAGCAAUAUAUGUAGUUAUCACAAAUAUUUCACGUGCAAGGUCUAAAUAUGUGCAACGAAGAAUACUCACGGUGCAAACCGGACGAACCAAUUCUUUACCAUUUCACGAGAGCAUAAAAUCAAAAACAAAAUAGCCAGACACAUUCCUGCAGUUGAAAAAUUAAUAUUAUCUUGAAUAUAGUGAUAACAAAAAUAAAUGCUUUGUAUCUUGAAUGUUAUGAUAAUAAAAUAUGUAAAUUUACCCGCCUGUAGUCAUUGGAAUACCAGUCGGAAAUAUAUGUUGCCAUCUAUAUAUAUCGGAACUCUAGCCGGGUUGCGCGUGCACUACUUCGAGUGCGUCUUUUAAGUCCCUCGCAAAUCUAUAGAGGGUCCAGAAUAUAUGCAUGACAUGUAUUUUUGUCGAUGACGUGCAAUAUGUAUCGGCCAAGUAAUGCAUAUGGAAGAUAAAUCUACAAGUGUAGUUAUUAGAAGCCAUAAAUCAUGACAACAAUGGACAAGAGACCUUACUUAUCAAGUUGCACGAUGACAUGUUGUUGUCUAUCCUAGGCCAGCUAUCAAACAAUGUAUUUGGCUUCACGCAGAAAUUUAGAUCUUGUGUUGAAUCUAACAUCGUGGACUGAGCAGGAACAAUUGUUUAGAAACAUGUUGAUACUAAUGAUAAUAUAAUUCAUAUGAUUGUGGUAACUAAAUUUUUUUUAUAGAUCCAUGAAGUAUACAGGAGGGUCCAUAAACAAUAAGACCAUGCGAUUAUACAUACGGCCAUGUUAAAACAAUCAUUGUCAUAGACGGCUCAUUGUUAAGUAUGCCCUGAAGUUUUCUUAGACAUAAGCCCAUUGGAUGGGUUGUCGAGCUUCGCACCCAUUCUUUCUUGAAAAAAUAAUUGGUAAGAAUCAUAAUAGUGUAUAUUGGCACAUGAUAUAUUUUUAAAUGUUGCUUACUCCAAACACCCGGCCUCAUCGAUCGACAUAUGUACUUGUAGAGCCUGACAACUAAUUCAUGUGGAUCCGUGGGCCUGAUGGAGAUUGAGAGAGGACGUUUGUCUUCGACUCCGUCAGUUGAAUUCUUCAGGAGCACAACAUCAGAAUUAAAUAAAUUUUCUUCAUCAUCAGAUUGGUAGUAUAUCAGAUAUCCUUUUAGCUUAUUCAGGUCUGAUUCGAGCAAUACGACAACUAAUUUCUGUCGAAAGUGUUUCAUAUCCUUCUGCAAAAUAUUUUUAAAACCAACUUAAAUACAAUUGAGAUAAAAUAAUGAGAUCAUGUAUGAAAAUAAAAUACUUUGGUGAAAUUAUUAAACAGUACAUCUCCUGUCCAAUAUUCCAUAUAAUUUAGCAUAAACAGUCUACAUGAUCCACUAUGAUAUUACGAAUCAAAUAGAGAAAUUAUUUGAAUAAGCAUGCAGAUGGGUAUCCUAAAGCAUCAUUUUGUAAUAUUGUAGCGGAUCGUGUGGACUGUUUAUGCUAAAUUAUAUGGAAUAUUGGACAAGAGAUAUAUUGUUUGAUAAUUUCACCCAGUUAUUUCAUUUCAUUUUCAUACAUGAUCUCGUUAUUUUAUUUCAAUAUUGUAUUAAAGUUGAGUUUUUAAAUAUUUUGUAGGAGGAUAUGAAAUACUUUCGACGGAAAUUAGUUGUCCUAUUGCUUGAGUCUGACCUGAAUAAGCUAAAAAGAAAUCCGAUAUACUACCAAUCUGAUGAUGAAGAAAGUUUACCUAAUUCUGAUGUUGUGCUUCUGUAGAAUCCAUCCGACGGAGUCGAAGACACACGUCCUCUCUCAAUCCCAUCAUGUGAUCCAUGUGAAUUAGUUGUUGGGCUCUGCAACUACAUCAUGUCGAUCGGUGAUGCUGGGUGUUUGGAGUAAGCAACAUUUAAAAAUAUAUCAUGGGCCAAUAUACAUUAUUAUGAUUCUUAUCAAUUAUUUUUCAGGAAGGAAUGGGUGCGAAGUUCGACACCCCAUCCAAUGGGCUUAAGUGUGAGAAAACUUCAGGGCAUACCUAACAUAGAGCAGUCUAUGGGCAAUGAUUGUUUCAACAUGGCCGUGUGUAUACUGGCAUGCGAUGAGGUCUUAUUGUCCAUAGUCCAUCCUAUACACUUCAUGGAUAUACAAUUUUGUUCCAUGAUGUUAGGAUUCAACACGAGAUAUGAAGUUUCACGUGAAGCCAAAUAUCCAGAUGCUGGGAACACUGUUUGAUAGUUGGCCUAGGGUAGACAAUAACAUCUCAUCGUGCAACUAGGUGCUAUGUGAUUGGCUCAAGAUGAUUCAGCUAUCAUCAUAUUUUCUAGAAUGGUGUGUAGUAUAGAAAUGUGCCGACAGUUAACUUGCAGCUUCGAUCUGCCCUUGGGUGAUACAAUUAACCAGUUACGGUCAUGGAAAGCAGAAUUACGCUGAAGCAGCUGUGUGGCGAUGGAGGAUUUCCCAUGGCUGCAAGCUGAGAAGGGGUCCGAUUCUGGGAGAAUCUUGCAAAAGAACUGGCCCAUGAUCCUUUUACACAUUGAUAUGCUGACGUGAUAGUGAUUACAUGAUCCGGGAACUAAGAUGAUUGACAGCUCUGGAGCACACAUCUGAUCAGCAGAGCAUACAGGUGCAACCGUGCAAGCACACUGUGACCAAAUACUGCUCCAUUUGGAGCUGGAUGCAAAGGUAUCUAUUUCUUUUUACCCGGGUUCAAGUCCCUUAUACACAAAAAAAUGGGUUUCCCAGUGCGGUGGGCCAUAUAUAUACGUCAUCAAAGCACGGCAACUCAAAGCGGAAUUGCUCUCAGCUCCCGGGCUGAGGCCCAGAUUUUAAAUUAUUGGGAAAACUUUUAAGUUUAAUGUUUCUUUUGAAAAAAAAUACACAGAUACUUAUAGAUGUAUACUACUUGUUUGUAAAGUUUCACGGUGAAAUACCAUUUUUGCGAACCACAAAAGGAGAUCAUGGAUUUCUAACAAAUGUACUAUUCACCAUAAAAGUACAUGAUUUUGUUUUUUGUGUAGACCACAUCAAAACUAUUUCAUCAUGAAUUUUUACACACAUGUAGUAUACAUCUCCAAGUACGUGUGUAUGUUUUCAGAACUUUUGGAAAAUUGAAAAGUUGAAUUUUGAUUUUGAAAAUCCUCUCUCAGCUCAAAGUCCCUAUUUAAAUUUAAAAGAUAAAAAGUAUUGCAAUGCAAACUUCACACAAGCCUUGUUACUAGUACAUGCAAAUAUGCAGUGCUGGGUCAUCUUUCAUGUAUCCAAACGAGUAUUAUUUUCUGUAUAUAAAUAUUCAAAAAUGCAGUCCACUUUUUU